rnacentral:rRNA from 1 species
CAAAUUCCGUGAUAGCUGGUUCUCUCCGAAAUGCAUUUGGGUGCAGCGUCGGGUCAUUACGUCCCGGGGGUAGAGCUACUGGAUGCUUGCGGGCCCGUAUCGGGUACCAACAGCAACCAAACUCCGAAUACCGGUGACGCGUAUCCCGGCAGUGAGUCGGCGGGGGAUAAGCUUCGUCGUCGAAAGGGAAACAGCCCAGACCGUCGUCUAAGGUCCCGAAGCGUGUGCUAAGUGGGAAAGGAUGUGGAGUCGCAUAGACAGCCAGGAGGUUGGCUCAGAAGCAGCCAUCCUUGAAAGAGUGCGUAACAGCUCACUGGUCUAGUGGUUCCGCGCCGACAAUGUAGCGGGGCUCAAGCACACCACCGAAGACGCGGCAACAGUUUUUGCUGUUGGGUAGGAGAGCGUCCCGCGUGGGGCGAAGCGGCCGGGGAACCGUGCCGUGGACCGCGCGGGAGUGAGAAUGCAGACAUGAGUAGCGAGAGACGGGUGAGGAUCCCGUCCGCUGGAUGACCAAGGGUUCCGGGGCCACGUUCGUCGUCCCCGGGUGAGUCGGGUCCUAAGGCGAGGCCGACAGGCGUAGUCGAAUGGAUGAACGGGUGGAUAUUCCCGUACCGGCGGCGUACCGUAAGAGCCGAACGGAUGAGUACUAACCUCCGGUCGCGUGGCGUCGUUCCCUUCGGGGUUCGGGGUCCGCGGUCGUUGGGAGCGUAGUCCUGGUAGGCUAGCGCACAGGGGUGACACGGAAUGGGAGCCGGCCGCGGAGGUGGUUUUCCGUGGUCAAGCACGCAGCCCGUCCCAUAGGCAAAUCCGUGGGACGCAUAGGGUGAGGUGUGAUGAUGGGCGUCCUUUGGACGCGAUAUCCGGUGGUCCAGGCCGUCGAGAAAAGCCUCGGCGCGAGGGGCGUCGCCGCCCGUACCCCAAACCGACACUGGUGGUCAGGUAGAGAAUACCAAGGCGAUCGAGCGAAUCCUGGUCAAGGAACUCGGCAAAUCACUCCCGUUCCUUCGGUUUAAGGGAGACCCCCGAUGGUGAACACACUUGCUGUGGGAGCUUUUGGGGGUGGCACAGACCAGGGGGGAGCGACUGUUUACCAAAAACACAGGUGCAUGCGAAGGCGCAAGCCGCUGUAUAUGCACUGACGCCUGCCCGGUGCCGGAAGGUUAAGAGGAUCCGUCAGCCCCUUUUGGGGUGAAGCGGUGAAUUCAAGCCCCGGUAAACGGCGGUGGUAACUAUAACCAUCCUAAGGUAGCGAAAUUCCUUGUCGGGUAAGUUCCGACCUGCACGAAUGGCGUAACGACUUCCCCACUGUCUCGACCAGGAGCUCGGCGAAAUUGCAGUACGAGUAAAGAUGCUCGUUAAGCGCAGAAGGACGAAAAGACCCCGGGACCUUUACUAUACCUUGGUAUUGGCGUUAGGCGCGGAUUGUGUAGCAUAGGCGGGAGGCUUCGAAGCAUGGGCGCCAGCCCGUGUGGAGCCGCAAGGUGAAAUACCGCUCUGUUCUCGUUUGACGUCUCACCUCGAACAGUCAUCCUGUUCAGGGACAGUGCCUGGCGGGUAGUUUAACUGGGGCGGUUGCCUCCCAAAGAGUAACGGAGGCGCCCAAAGGUCCGCUCAGCCCGGUUGGCAAUCGGGUGGCGAGUGCAAGUGCACAAGCGGGCUUGACUGCGAGGACGACGGUCCGAGCAGGGACGAAAGUCGGGACUAGUGAUCCGGUGCCGGUGUACGGACGCGGCAUCGCUCAACGGAUAAAAGGUACUCCGGGGAUAACAGGCUGAUCAUUCCCAAGAGUCCAUAUCGACGGGAUG